GAUCCUGGCUCAGAACGAACGCUGGCGGCAGGCCUAAGUCAUGCAAGUUGAACGGCUGUAGCAAUACAGCAGUAGCGGACGGGUGAGUAAUGUAUGGGAACGUAUCUUCUAGUGGGGAAUAUUCUCUGGAAACGAAGAGCAAUACCGCAUGAGUCCUACGGGAGAAAGUCGCAAGACGCUAGAUGAGCGGCCCAUAUUGGAUUAGCUAGUUGGUUAGGUAAUGGCUGACCAAGGCAACGAUCCAUAGCUGGUCUAAGAGGACGAUCAGCCACAUUGGGACUGAGACACGGCCCAGACUCCUACGGGAGGCAGCAGUCAGGAAUAUUGGACAAUGGGGGCAACCCUGAUCCAAGCCAUGCCGCGUGAGUGUUAAGGUCUUCGGAUUGUAAAGCUCUUUUGUGUGGGAAAAUGAUGAUGGUACCACAAGAACAAGCACCGGCUAACUUCGUGCCAGCCGCGGC
rnacentral:rRNA from 1 species